rnacentral:rRNA from 1 species
CAAUAGCGUAUAUUAAAGCUGUUGCGGUUAAAAAGCUCGUAGUUGGAUUUCUGUCAAGGACAACUGGUCCGCCCUCCGGGUGAGCACAUAGUUUGGUCUUGACAUCUUGCUGGAAGCUGUUGCUGCACUUGGCUGUGUGGCGCAGUGUUCAGCACUUUCACUUUGAGGAAAUUGGAGUGUUUCAAGCAGGCACAUGCCUUUGGACACAGUAGCAUGGAAUAAUUAGAUUGGGCUUUUGCUCCAAUUUGUCGGUUUCUGGAGCUGAGGUGUGUAUUAAUGGGGAUUGUUGGGGGCAUCCGAAUUUAGCCGUCAGAGGUGAAAUUCUUGGAUCUGCUAAAGACGGACAACUGCGAAAGCGUUUGCCCAGGAUGUUUUCAUUGA